rnacentral:lncRNA from 1 species
GUGCUUUUGGCCCCCAAAGUGAUGAUUUUGCAACAGUAAAACGUUAUGGCUGCUUUCACAAGGAGAAAGAGGAGUGUCCAGGAUGUUCUGUUUGCAAAGUGGAAAGGACAUUGCAAGGAGCAAGGAACACCCAGGAGUGUUCUGGGGUUCACUCAGACUUUACCAAAUGUUCAGGCCUGGCAAGCCAAGCCUGGGUGGUUUCACCAAGGUGCUACAGCCAGGGACCCAGAGAGCUGAAACCUAAGGGACCCCAAUAUCUCAUCCUCCUGCACAGAAACCAGGCUGUCCACACACUGAUGGAGCAAAGAACCCAUUAAUUAAUUUCCAUCCUCGUUAAUUGAUCUUCAUCCUUUUGGAAUAAGUCAAAAGUUUCUGCUGCCAGCAAACUCUGAUGUUGGAUUUUGAACUGAGUAUCUCACCUCAUGUCAGGCAGAGCUUCCCCAACAGCUCUUACAGACUUAAAAACACUUAUAAUUUCUGAUUACUCCUUGGUCUGUGACAUCACGAGGACAUUUCUGCACAUUUAGGAAUAGUGGGCAGGAAAAUGUCAAAGACUGAUUUAGGGUGAAGAGGAUUUGUCCCACAGGUUGGGCAUGGUUUUCACUGCAUGGGAUGGACUUUGAGAAUUCGUCAUUCUACAAGGCUAAAACUUGAAAGAAAAUCCCAAAUCUCUGCAAAUUUACAAGAUUAUCAGCAAAGUCCACCUCUCAUGUCUCAGUUAACAGCUCCUUUUGCUCAGGCCCUUUGGAAAGGCUCAAGUUGCCAUGGCAAUCUGCAUCUCCAGGCAGCGCAGCCCACCGCAUCCCCACGGCAUUCCUGGCGAGCAGCAUGGCUCUGGGGCUUGGAAACACCUCCAGGGAUUAACUGGGCUCACUCUUUCAGAUGGUUUGUUGCUGCUCUCCCGGAUCAGCUGUGUGGAGAGGAACUGCUCCUGCUGUCCUUUUCUCUUGCCUGUACAUCCUGUCCCUGGGGAAGCUCAUUCAGCAGCACCAGCUCAGCUCUGCUGACAGCUUGCAGAUCUGCCUCUCCCCCUAAUGAAAAUUACAUCAGCUCCAACGAUUAAAUCUCUUUGGGGAUGGAAUUUUCAGAACUGGUUAUUGGCUUGGAAACAGAUUAGCAGAUAUUUGCCUGCCCAUCACCAUCCCUAGGUAUAAAUUUCUGACCCUUGCUUGAUAUCCAUGACUGGUGAGUGCUUAACAUGCAGCAUAACCCCACCUGUGACAGGAUUCAUGGCUUAAUCACCAGCACCCAGAAAUGUGGCCCAAUUCUCUUUUCAAAGAAUAUCUUGCUUGUCCUUCGUGCAUUCCAAGUGUACAGACUCCAGGAAAGGAAAAAGAGCACGUGAGGAUCCCCUACAUUUUGUCCAUGAAUUUGAACAAAUCUAAUCUCUUUCCUGUGCUAUUUCUCUUCCUAAACAAGGCUGACAUUUAUUUGCUUAAAUAUCCUUUCAGUUAACAGGUACCUGUCCAGUAUUUGAUCACAACUAUAAAUAAAAGAGGGGUAACAUAGUGCUGGUGAAUGCCA